rnacentral:tRNA from 1 species
GGCAAGUUAGCUCAGCUGAUUGAGCAUGGUGCUGAUAACACCAAGGUCAUGGGUUCAAUCCCCGUUUGGUCC